UAUCAUGAAGAUGGACUGUCGUUUGGUUAAUUUUAGUUUUUUUUUUUUUUUCUUAAAGGCGCGAAGGAAUAGAAUCAGUAAAACGACGGCGCUGAAUAACUAGGGAUUUCCAAUUCUCCAUUCAUACAAAGCUCAAUCGUUGAUUUCAAAAAUCUCAACCUUCCAAGCCCCAAACAUAGCGUAGAAAACAAGAAAAAAAAAAGAUUCCAUUGCAGAAUCAUUUAAAAAAAGGAAGUAGAAAACGCCUUCGAGAAGGAGAAGAGGAAGAGGAAGAGGAAGAGGAAGAGAUCGAAGCUGAAGAAACUCCCUCACUCGUGGACAAUCCCGCGUUCACCGACAAAGUGGUGGGUGCGAGCUCAGUUUCGACACAUCGACAGGGUGUUGAUUCAGCCUUUCAUUUUACACUCACAACUAUAUAGCAGUGAACAGAACGCUAGUUGAUAGAGAAUUAGAGAUGCUUUUUACAAUGUGAUGGACGGAUGAUGAGCUAUGAUAUGUUAUGCAGUCGUCGAGGAGAGAGAAGGUUCAAAUAAAAUCAAUGGGAUUGUAGUAGCACUACCAAUUGACAUGUCCUCCAGUAAGGUAUCUAAAGCAUAGUUGGUGGGUAAAAACAUAAAAUUUCAGAGUUCAGAAGAAAAUGCGUGGAAGAGUGACAGCUAAACAAGGAUUGGGCGAUCACAUGCUCGAUUUUAAAUGAAUGCCAGAUGAUGUGGGUGUCUUCACUACUAGGGACGUUGUAGUUUGUACUUUUCUUUCGGAAACAGGCUCGUGAAAGCUCUCAAACAAGGCAUCCUGACAUGAUCCUUCAUAUCACGGUUUCUGGUGAGAGCAACCUUGAUCAAGCUCUCUGCAUUAUUGGAAUAGGUCGAGGGGGAUUUCGAGUAGAUGGAGGAAAAUGGGAGGGUAGGAAACAAACAAACAAAUCAGGCUCAUUGAACACCAAAAAUGGUACGAGAGAGUAAAGAUCAUUUGACACUGAUAAUAACAGCACGAGAAAAGGGGGAGCUGUUUGUUGGAAGAUAGCUUUCAAGAACUAGUCCAGAGAAGGUCAUGAGGCACUACCCUUGAAAGCCAUAUAGGGUUCAUAGGGGGCUAAUAAAAUCUGACAUUUUCAGGAAAAUAAUGGAUGGAGCAAUAUUCUGCAUCCCCGUAAAUGCUGAGUUGUGUGUUAUCGUCUCUAUCUAUAUGAUGAUGUAACGGUUUAUGAUGGAGGUCUUGAAAU